UACGUAGGGAGCGAGCGUUGUCCGAAGUUACUGGGCGUAAAGCGCACGUAGGCGGCUUACUAAGUCAGGGGUGAAAUCCUGGAGCUCAACUCCAGAACUGCCUUUGAUACUGGUGAGCUUGAGUCCGGAAGAGGUGAGUGGAACUGCGAGUGUAGAGGUGAAAUUCGUAGAUAUUCGCAAGAACACCAGUGGCGAAGGCGGCUCACUGGUCCGGUACUGACGCUGAGGUGCGAAAGCGUGGGGAGCAAACAGG
rnacentral:rRNA from 1 species